ensembl:lncRNA
ACAAAUACUUCUCUUACACCAACUCGGUGCCGAAGCCAGGUUCUUCCCAGCGCCCACACGCUCCCCAGAAGGAAAGUUCAAUGCAGCCAGCCUCUGGCUUCCCGUGACUCGUGUCUGGCCUGGAGACGUGAGACUGAUUCCAAAUCUGGCUCUGCUGCCGCGUACUGUGGGACUUCAGGGAGCCUGGUCUCUCUCUGGGCCUUCCCAGGAGAGGAAGGGACAGAGUGGGGGUGCUCCCCGCAUCCCGCUGGCUCCAGGAGGGCACAGUGGGUACCGCCGGUCAUAGUGGCCCCGGCCCAUUCUGUGCAGGCACCAGAUGGGCACUGCUGGCCGGCUGCUCGCUGUCUGCACCCCGACAGCUGGCCUGGCUCUCGACCUCCCUGCUGCUCCAGACAGCAGGAGCCCAAGGUCACCCUGACGCGUCACUCUCCAGCAGGGAGGCUCGGAGUCCAGCCAGGUGGUGGCCACUGCUGCCACCAGCCCUGCCCUGGGCGCCUUCCUCCUGGCCCUGUGCUGCCCUCAGCCCGUCCAUGCCAAGGCCUGGCCCCAGAACACCUGCUCCCCCAGGGUCAGCGAGUGGUGCUGGCGGGGUGGCAGGGGGUGCUGGGGUCCCGGCAGCCCCUCCCACACCCCCUCACCCCCAGACACUCCAGGGUCUGGUGGCCGAGAGUGAGCAGAUGCAGAGUCUGUGCAGGCAAGCCAGGGUCCCCCGUGCUCAGGCGUCCAGGCGGGGCGCGGGGGACUGGCCAGCCAUCUCCUGUCCCUCUGUCCCGAUGCCCAGCCUUGCCCCACCCCAGGCUGCCCUGCCUCAAGAGCCUCCCCUCUGCAGCCCACCCCCGGCCUGGCCAGCAGAGCUGGGCUGUGCACUCACAUGUGCCACCCUCCUGGCUCCUGAAGGCCCAAGGCCUCGCACCUGCGGCCAGAGGUGUAAAAUCCAAUUUGCGGCCGACACCUCCUCCAGACACCCUGGGCCUGAGCAGCCAGCGGCCCCAUGGCUGCAAAGUGAGGAUGCAGCUGCCGCCCCCACCCAGGGGUCUGCCCACCACCUCGCCCCUCAAGCCUGUCUUGCCGCCGUGCCCACACUGCCGCAGGGUCGCAUUUCCCAGGCCUUGGGGAAGAAAGUGUCAAGAAACGCAGAGCUUCGCAGGAUCGUUCAACCUGAAGCUGUCUUUGGGGCAAAGCAGCCAGGGUCCGGAAUGCUUCAGACCCUCUGCAGCAGAAGACGGACUGGGGGGUGGGGAUGGGGGGCUGGAGAACGAGGGGCCGCUGAGCAGGAAGCAGCCUCCUGCAGACCCUUCUGGAAUUCUGAGGCCAUGGACUCUGCCUGUCCUGGGGCCUGGUGUGUGCAGCCCCCAGCCCACAAGGUCCUUAGCUCUAUGGGGGCCUGGGAAGGGCAACGCUGAGUCCUGCAGAGAGAGGUUGGGGUCUGCCUGCACGCCCUCCCCACGGCGGGCGGGGGCAUCUCCCGCCCUCUUCUACCUGCAGAGGCCAUGCACUCCCAGUGGCCUCUCUGGCUCCAGCCCCUCCUGGGUAGGAAUGCCUCCCCCACGCCUCACUCCUGCAGAAGAGGGGGACCCACGGACAACCUGGGCUGGGCUCUUCCCACCUGGGACCCUAUUCUCCGUGCCCAGCACCUGGCCGUGUGCCCAGAAGCAGAAAAGCUGUGACAUCACUUCGGGAGCUGGAGAGGCCACAGAGCUGCGUUGGGGGAACAGGGUGGUGGGCUGCCCACUGGUCCUUGGGGAGGACGGGGCCAGCCACGGCCAGGCUGGGCUCCCACGGUCGGUGGAGGCCCACCCCCAUCUUGCAUUUCCUGCCCACGCGGCCAUCUCACUCACACACUCACACACUCACACACACCCCCGCCACCCCUCCCACCCAACACAGCCCAGGCUCCAUCUCUGGGGUCCCAGAGCCAGAAGCUGCCUCCUGCUGACGGAUGACAGAUGGAGACCAGUGGUCCUGUAG